GCAUCAUUGGUCUAGGGUGGGUAGAAUACAACGUUGCCAUCGUUGCACCUGAGUCUUCGAUUCUCGGAUGAUGCA